rnacentral:rRNA from 1 species
UACGGAGGGUGCAAGCGUUAUCCGGAUUUACUGGGUUUAAAGGGUGUGUAGGCGGGCUAUUAAGUCAGCGGUGAAAUCUCCGGGCUCAACCCGGAAACUGCCAUUGAUACUAUUAGUCUUGAAUUUUGUUGAGGUAGGCGGAAUAAGUCAUGUAGCGGUGAAAUGCAUAGAUAUGACUUAGAACACCAAUUGCGAAGGCAGCUUACUAAACAAAUAUUGACGCUGAGGCACGAAAGCGUGGGGAUCAAACAGG